CCUCUACAUACUUGAGUUUCUCCAGUCUGCAGUGUGGAUCCUCCAGUCCAGCAGAGAGCAGUCUGACUCCUGAGUCUCCUGGGUGAUUGUAGCUCAGGUCCAGCUCUCUCAGGUGUGAGGGGUUUGACCUCAGAGCUGAGACCAGAGAAGCACAGCCUUCCUCUGUGACUAGACAGCCUGACAGCCUGCAAAGAGUCAAAUCAUAUUAAAAUCACACUGCUAUUCUUUGGUGGUGAAAAUAA